AUUGAACGCUGGCGGCAGGCCUAACACAUGCAAGUCGAACGAGUGGCGGACGGGUGAGUAAUGUCUGGGAAACUGCCUGAUGGAGGGGGAUAACUACUGGAAACGGUAGCUAAUACCGCAUACCCUCAGAUGUACACAUAUGGGAUUAGCUUGUUGGUGGGGUUACGGCUCACCAAGGCGACGAUCCCUAGCUGGUCUGAGAGGAUGACCACCCACACUGGAAGUGAGACACGUUCCAUAGUCCUAAGUGAGGCAGCGGUGGGGAAUAUUGCACAAUGGGCGCAAGCCUGAUGCAGCCAUGCCGCGUGUAUGAAGAAGGCCUUCGGGUUGUAAAGUACUUUCAGCGGGGAGGCGUUACCCGCAGAAGAAGCACCGGCUAAGUCCGUGCCAGCAGCCGCGGUAAUAC
rnacentral:rRNA from 1 species